rnacentral:tRNA from 1 species
GCUAGCGUAGCUUAACUAAAGCAUAACACUGAAGAUGUUAAGAUGGACCCUAGUAAGAUCCCGUAAGCA